rnacentral:rRNA from 1 species
GACGAACGCUGGCGGCGUGCUUAACACAUGCAAGUCGAACGGAAAGGCCCUGCUUUUGUGGGGUGCUCGAGUGGCGAACGGGUGAGUAACACGUGAGUAACCUGCCCUUGACUUUGGGAUAACUUCAGGAAACUGGGGCUAAUACCGGAUAGGAGCUCCUGCUGCAUGGUGGGGGUUGGAAAGUUUCGGCGGUUGGGGAUGGACUCGCGGCUUAUCAGCUUGUUGGUGGGGUAGUGGCUUACCAAGGCUUUGACGGGUAGCCGGCCUGGGAGGGUGACCGGCCACAUGGGGACUGAGAUACGGCCCAGACGCCAACGGGAGGCAGCGGUGGGGAAUAUUGCACAAUGGGCGGAAGCGUGAUGCAGCAACGCCGCGUGCGGGAUGACGGCCUUCGGGUUGUAAACCGCUUUCGCCUGCGACGAAGCGUGAGUGACGGUAAUGGGUAAAGAAGCACCGGCUAACUACGUG